AUACAGUAUCGGCAAAACAGUCGAAAGGCUGCGGCGCAAAGCUAAAGGGCCUGUAAAAUGGCAGCCAGUUGCAUUU
rnacentral:ncRNA from 1 species